rnacentral:rRNA from 1 species
UACGGAGGGGGCGAGCGUUAUUCGGAAUUAUUGGGCGUAAAGGGCGCGUAGGCGGCCUGGUAAGUCAAAGGUGAAAUCCCUCGGCUCAACUGAGGAACUGCCUUUGAAACUGUCAGGCUCGAGUCCGGGAGGGGGUGGCGGAAUUCCCAGUGUAGCGGUGAAAUGCGUAGAUAUUGGGAGGAACACCAGUGGCGAAGGCGGCCACCUGGACCGGAUCUGACGCUGAUGCGCGAAAGCGUGGGUAGCAAACAUG